GCUACGGGUGGCAGCAGUAGGGAAUAUUGCUCAAUGGGGGAAACCCUGAAGCAGCAACGCCGCGUGGAGGAUGAAGGUUUUCGGAUUGGAAACUCCUUUUGUUAGAGAAGAGAAUGACGGUAUGUAACGAAUAAGCACCGGCUAACUCCGGGCCAGCAGCCGAGGUAAUACGGAGGGGGCAAGCGUUAUUCGGAAUCACUGGGCGUAAAGAGCGCGUAGGCGGGAUAGCAAGUCAGAUGGGAAAUCCUAUGGGUUAAACAUAGAACUGCAUUUGAAACUGUUAUUCGAGAGUAUGGGAGAGGUAGGUGGAAUUCGUGGUGUAGCGGUGAAAUCCGUAGAGAUCAAGAAGAAUACUCAUUGCGAAGGCAGCCUGCUAGAACAUAACUGACGCUGAUGCGCGAAAGCGUGGGGAGCGAACAGGAUUAGAUACCCGGGUAGUC
rnacentral:rRNA from 1 species